rnacentral:rRNA from 1 species
CAAUAGCGUAUAUUAAAGUUGUUGCGGUUAAAAGCUCGUAGUUGGAUUUCUGUCGAGGACGGUCGGUCCACACUUUGUGUGAGUAUCUGAUUCGGCCUUGGCAUCCUCUUGAAAAACGUUUCUGCGCUUGAUUGCGUGGAGCGGAGUUCAAGACUUUUACUUUGAGGAAAUUAGAGUGUUCACGGCAGGCAAACGCCUUGAAUAUAUUAGCAUGGAAUAAUAAUAUAGGGCGUAAGUUCUAUCUUGUUGGUUUCUAGAACAUACGCAAUGAUUAAUAGGGACAAUUGGGGGCAUUCGUAUUAACGCGUCAGAGGUGGAAUUCUUAGAUUGCGUUACGACGAACUACUGCGAAAGCAUUUGCCAAGGAUGUUUUCAUUGAUCAAGAACGAAAGUAUGGGGAUCGAAGACGAUUAGAUACCAU